UCUCCUAUGACAAUGCAGGUCAAAAAAUUUUGUGAAUGCUGGUGCUCAGGCCCCACUCCUUUCAGAGAAGUCCAAGGGAGUUGAAUUAACAUCUAAAAGAUGGCUGCUCCUGCAGGUACCUAAGAGCAAGAAACUGAUGUCAGAAAACAGGGUAAAAGUUAGAAUAUUUCGUAACUGGCACUGGGUGUGAUGUUCCCACAAUAAAGUUUUAAUGGGCUAAUCCUGCAAUGGCCUUUACUGAUGGCAGCCUCCAGGAGAGGCGUUAUAAGUGGCAGCUUCUUACCGGAAUUUAUUUUUAAGGAGGAAAUUUACAUUUUGAGGGCAUAGAGAACAGUCAAGUUUAGUAAAGGGGAGAAAAUGUAGGCUUCUACAGGUCUACAAAAAUCAGGCUUAACCAGCUGUUUUACUGCUUCCUGAAAUUAUAUGCUACUUAGCUUGAAGUGAAACCUUUGGUGAAACUCUGGAAUGAUAGGUUGUCUAUUUUGAUGUCAUGAUAAACCUUGAGGACAAUGCAGAAUGUCCACAAAAAACAUAUUUGGCAUGGCCAACAAAUUCAAGGUGUGUCUAUCGAAAAUGAAGCAACCAGAUAUGAUCUAAAAUUAAAACUAGAUGGGAAUCCUUACUAAGUGAUGCUGGGCCAUACAUGGCUCUCUGAGACGUUAUUACCCUUAAUGAUCAAAGCCCAGCCAACUUCUUAGAUAUUAGCAGUAGUGUAGAGGAAGCUCAGGUGUACUAAACAUUUAAAUUGCUCAUUGCUGAUCCUAAGUUUGAAAUCACCGUCAACAUUGUUUUAGGUGUGAUAGUGAAUUUUGCUGUCAUUGCCAAUGGCAUCAUCAAACACUGCUGAGAACUAGAACUCAUGGCCCCUCUGGUGGUCAAGUUUGAAGGAUUCAAUGUCCAGGGGCCUUAAAAUAUGCUUAAUAGCAUCUAACUAACUCCCCAUUACUUAUGGCAUUGACUUGGAGGAUACAGCUAAGAAGGCUGUGGCCAGCAUGGCAAAGAA
rnacentral:lncRNA from 1 species